UCCAAGGCUAAAUACUACCUAGUGACCGAUAGCGUAUAGUACCGUGAGGGAAAGGUGAAAAGAACCCCGGGAGGGGAGUGAAAUAGAACCUGAAACCCUGCACUUACAAGCUGUGGAAGCACAUUUCUUGUGUGACCGCGUACUUUUUGUAGAACGGGCCAACGAGUUACGUUAAGUAGCAAGGUUAAGCACUUAAGGUGCGGAGCCGUAGCGAAAGCGAGUUUUAACUGAGCGUUCAGUUACUUGACGUAGACCCGAAACCGGGCGACCUACCCAUGAGCAGGAUGAAGCGAAAGUAAAAUUUCGUGGAGGUCCGAACCCACGAGCGUUGAAAAGCUCGGGGAUGACUUGUGGGUAGCGGUGAAAUUCCAAUCGAGCCCGGAGAUAGCUGGUUCUCCCCGAAAUAGCUUUAGGGCUAGCCUCAAGGUGAGAGAUACGGAGGUAGAGCACUGAAUGUCCUAGGGGGUAUUGCACCUACCGAAGACUAUCAAACUCCGAAUGCCGUCAUCUUAUACUUGGGAGUCAGACUGUGGGUGAUAAGAUUCAUAGUCGAAAGGGCAACAGCCCAGAUCGUCAGCUAAGGUCCCUAAAUGUAAGUUAAGUGGUAAAGGAUGUGGGAUUGCACAGACAACCAGGAUGUUGGCUUAGAAGCAGCCACUCAUUCAAAGAGUGCGUAAUAGCUCACUGGUCGAGUGAUCCUGCGCCGAAGAUUUCCGGGGCUAAAACUUACUACCGAAGCUACGGCAUCAGUAAUGAUGGGUAGGGGAGCUUCCCAUACGGGUUGAAGCAUGACCGUAAGGACAUGUGGACAGUAUGGGAGUGAGAAUGUUGGCAUGAGUAGCGAGAUGUGGGUGAGAAGCCCACAGGCCGUAAACCCAAGGUUUCCAGGGGAAGGUUCGUCCGCCCUGGGUUAGUCGGGACCUAAGCUGAGGCCGAAAGGCGUAGGUGAUGGACAACAGGUUGAUAUUCCUGUACUACCGAUAACCGUUUGAGAGAAGGGAUGACACAGUAGGAUAAGCUAAGCACACUGUUGGUUAUGUGUGCCCAAGCAUUGAGGCAGUCAAAGUAGG
rnacentral:rRNA from 1 species